AACGAACGCUGGCGGCAGGCCUAACACAUGCAAGUCGAACGCCCUAGCAAUAGGGAGUGGCAGACGGGUGAGUAACACGUGGGAACCUUCCCUAUAGUACGGAAUAGCCCAGGGAAACUUGGAGUAAUACCGUAUACGCCCGUGAGGGGAAAGAUUUAUCGCUAUAGGAUGGGCCCGCGUAGGAUUAGCUAGUUGGUGAGGUAAUGGCUCACCAAGGCGACGAUCCUUAGCUGGUUUGAGAGAACGACCAGCCACACUGGGACUGAGACACGGCCCAGACUCCUACGGGAGGCAGCAGUGGGGAAUAUUGGACAAUGGGCGCAAGCCUGAUCCAGCCAUGCCGCGUGAGUGAUGAAGGCCUUAGGGUUGUAAAGCUCUUUUAGCAGGGAAGAUAAUGACUGUACCUGCAGAAUAAGCUCCGGCUAACUUCGUGCCAGCAGCCGCCGUAAGAC
rnacentral:rRNA from 1 species